GUAAAUGAUGCUGUCCUUGUUGGUGAUAGCACACUUGUCUCCUGCUCUUCAGACACCACUCUCAAGACUUGGAGUUGCUUGUCCGAUGGAAUUUGUACCAGGACUCUUCGACAGCACUCUGAUUAUGUUACUUGUCUUGCUGCAGCAGAAAAAAAUAGCAAUAUUGUUGCCUCUGGUGGCCUUGGUGGGGAGGUUUUCAUAUGGGAUCUCGAAGCUGCACUUGCUCCAGUCUCAAAAUCAAAUGAUGCAAUGGAAGAUGAUUGUUCAAAUGGUGUCAGUGGUUCUGGUAAUCCAUUGCCUAUGACAAGUUUACGCACCAUUAGCUCAAGCAACAGCAUAACUAUGCAUACAACUCAGUCCCAUGGAUAUGUACCAAUUGGUGCCAAAGGCCAUAAGGAGUCAGUUUAUGCAUUGGCAAUGAAUGAGACUGGAACUAUUCUUGUCUCUGGUGGAACUGAAAAGGUUGUUCGUGUUUGGGAUCCAAGAACUGGUUCAAAGACUAUGAAGCUAAGAGGGCACACUGAUAAUAUCAGGGCUCUGCUUUUGGAUUCUUCUGGCAGGUUUUGCUUAUCUGGAUCCUCUGAUUCUAUGAUCAGACUAUGGGACCUUGGUCAGCAGCGUUGUGUGCAUUCAUAUGCUGUGCAUACAGAUUCUGUUUGGGCACUUGCCAGCACCCCAACAUUUGGCCAUGUUUAUAGUGGUGGGAGGGAUCUAUCUUUAUACUUG
rnacentral:misc_RNA from 1 species